GAAGACCAGCUAACAAAGAAAAACAGGAUGCCGUUUGUUGGAAGGACAAACUAUGUCCUGAAACAACUACUGGGAUUGUGGAUUUCCCGCUGAGUGACAGGCGUUUUUAGCAGUCUCCAGACUUUGGUGCCUGAGUCCUGCUGGCCACAGCUCGUGAGGCAGCGUUGGAGCGCUUGGAUAACCUUAUUGACACAAUGCAACUGGCACUCCUCCACACCCAACAAAAUUAUGGCACUGAGGAAAUUACCAGGACACCCACCAAAGGCACUUGCUCACCCAUGAGUGGAUCAUUUUCUCAUUCUUGUAU